rnacentral:rRNA from 1 species
UACGAAGGGGGCUAGCGUUGCUCGGAAUUACUGGGCGUAAAGCGCACGUAGGCGGUCUUUUAAGUCGGUGGUGAAAUCCUGGAGCUCAACUCCAGAACUGCCUUCGAUACUGGAAGACUUGAGUCCGGGAGAGGUGAGUGGAACUCCUAGUGUAGAGGUGGAAUUCGUAGAUAUUAGGAAGAACACCAGUGGCGAAGGCGGCUCACUGGUCCGGUACUGACGCUGAGGUGCGAAAGCGUGGGGAGCAAACAGG